ACGACCUUACUUGAACAGGAUCUGUUCUAUAGGCUCGUACCUCUGUAUUCUUGACUUCUAAGAAGACAGAAACCCAUGUCUGGUUGAUGAACCAGGACCAUUUAACCAGAGCGUGAUUAACAGAGCUUAUGGACUUGACCAUGGCUUAGUAGAGGAUCGUUGCCGGUCCAUGUUCUGGUUCUGGCAUGGUUAAAUGGUUGUCUGACAGACA
rnacentral:snoRNA from 1 species